CCAGAGCAGUCUCUUCCUGCCUCUCCUCUGGGCUUCCGGGUCACCAGGAGGUCGGUGGCUGUUUCCGGAAGGAGCCGCUGCAGUUCCUUGCUGGAGAUUUGGGUGGGUUUCCUGGUAGGUUCUGGGCUUCCCGCGGCUCCGAGGCUGUGGGUCCUCCGCGGUGGUGCUCGCUGGCCCACUCCAUGUUCAGUAGUAAGCACCUUUGCUCUCAGGUGUUGUUUUAGGGAAGGAAACAGCUGGAGUUAAUCCACCAUUUAUAAAGCAGCGGAUUCAGUGCUCUGCUCUCCUGAUGGUUCUGAUUAAGGAUAUUUUCUCUUCCUCCUGAGCUCUAGCCAGCAUACCUGUUUGAAAUGGGGUUAUUCGCAUGCUUGGUCAUCUCCCUCCACCAGCAGCCAUGAAGAAGGCACCAUGCAAAAGUCUUUAAUGUUUGUACACACAGAAAGGAUCAGAAGUCACCUGAAAAAAAGAUAAAAUUUAGUGGGAUAAAGUGAGCUACAAUGUAAAAGUGAGAAAUUCCCAUUUGGUUGUCAUAGCUGCACAGCCCUGCUGGGUUUCCACACAAGAGGAGGGGAGACUAUGGCCAACAUUUCACAGUAAAUACACCAUUCUAUGUCAUUCAGUGGAUGUUAUUUUAUCCUACAGAAAAGCUCCAACUGCCUGAGACAUCACAGAUAUCAGAUUAAUUUUUCCCCAUGUUACCACCAUUCCUGUUAUUGUUACUGUUUCUCCCUCAUUUAAAGCAGAAUCAUUCCAAGAGAUCAACACAUCAUUUUGUCUUUGUUGAAUCACAUCUUUAAAUAUAUUUUGAGUUUUC